ACACGAUACAUUAGAUACCCGGGUAGUCCUAGCCGUAAACGAUACUCGCUAGGUGUCGGCCACGGUGCGACCGUUGUCGGUGCCGUAGGGAAGCCGUGAAGCGAGCCACCUGGGAAGUACGGCCGCAAGGCUGAAACUUAAAGGAAUUGGCGGGGGAGCACCACAACGGGUGGAGCUUGCGGUUUAAUUGGAUUCAACGCCGGAAAUCUUACCGGGACCGACAGCAACAUGAAGGCCAGGCUGAAGACUUUGCCGGAUUAGCUG
rnacentral:rRNA from 1 species